GACGAACGCUGGCGGCGUGCUUAACACAUGCAAGUCGAACGGAAAGGCCCUGCUUUUGUGGGGUGCUCGAGUGGCGAACGGGUGAGUAACACGCGAGUAACCUGCCCUUGACUUUGGGAUAACUUCAGGAAACUGGGGCUAAUACCGGAUAGGAGCUCCUGCUGCAUGGUGGGGGUUGGAAAGUUUCGGCGGUUGGGGAUGGACUCGCGGCUUAUCAGCUUGUUGGUGGGGUAGUGGCUUACCAAGGCUUUGACGGGUAGCCGGCCUGAGAGGGUGACCGGCCACAUUGGGACUGAGAUAUGGCCCAGACUCCUACGGGAGGCAGCAGUGGGGAAUAUUGCACAAUGGGCGGAAGCCUGAUGCAGCAACGCCGCGUGCGGGAUGACGGCCUUCGGGUUGUAAACCGCUUUCGCCUGUGACGAAGCGUGAGUGACGGUAAUGGGUAAAGAAGCACCGGCUAACUACGUG
rnacentral:rRNA from 1 species